rnacentral:lncRNA from 1 species
AUGGGGUGGUGCCCAUCUCUGCACACUCUGGGAUAGGGAUCCAUCAGCUUGUGAUAAUACAUCAUGACACCCUAGAGAGUCACUCUCCCUCCACAGCCCUUCACAGUAGAGCCCCAAAUGGACUCUUGCUUUAAACAUAAUAUGGAUGAGCAAUAGAGAAAAUACAGAUGGACAAUUGCUUUUCUAGUGUGUGACCCACAGCAGGUCCCAGCUCCUUUAUUUCAAGAAAUCCAGAGCAAUUAAUGUUCCUAACUUACCUCCUCCUUCCUGGGCAGGGGAGGACACCCCUCCAUCUAGGAGCAUGUAAGCCUGAACAACAACCCUUAAUCCACAGAAAGGAGCCAAUAGUAAAACUGAAGUGAAUGAUCCCUUCCUCUAAUUUAUCAAAUACAGUCAGCCUGUCUACAAUACUUGAUUGGGAGAAAUUGCAUCAGUGUUUUUGGUCAUGGGUAAAGCAUCAGGGACUAGAAGAGGCAAGUAAGGUAAUUGCCUGGGGUGCAAAAUUUAAGGGGAAAUGAGGAAGGUGCCCCAAAACUCAGUGAUCAGAAUAAAUAAUAUUUUAAUGAUAUUUUUAAAACUUAAAAUUACUGCAAAAACUUCAUGAUGAGGAAAAUAUCAACAUUUUAAAUAAAAACAAGAUUGAUAUUACUGAUUUUGUUGUUCUAGAGUGGCUCAGCAUGGAACUGCCCAGUAUACACUGAAAUAAGUGGAAGAGAAAGUUAAAGGGAGCCUGUCGCUAUCUUUGUAACUUCGGUGGUUCUAUUUGGGUACGCUGAACACCUUCUGGAAGCAGAAAUCUAUCAUGUGUUGUCAAUGCUGUGAAAAUUGUGCUUGGGAGCAACACAUUGGAGCUGAUGGUGGUAGUUGACUCACAGGGUGUAGUCCUGGUCUGCCACUCACAGUUGUGUGACCUUGGGCAAGUCAUUUGACUUUUCUCAUGUCACUUUCCUUUCUCAAGUCAACAUCCUUAAAAGGAUGUUGGAGAAAAAUAAACAUUUUAAGAUAUUUCUGGAACCUGCCCAUAUCAACAAGGGACUUGGAUGGAUUAAAAUGGAUGAUUUGGGUGUUGAAUUGAGUAUUUAUUCAAGGUUAACCUGAAUUAUUAAUUAUUUUGUUGAUUCUCCAAAUAACAUUUCAUUAGGUCACCUUUUGCCUCCUUAAUCUGAGUACGAGAGAGGCCCUGACUUCAACUCCAAGGGCUGGUGGUAAAUUCUAUUUCAUUCCCUGCCAAGAUUAUAUCUGCUUUGAGGAUUCAUAAAAGACUUGAGAGUUUAUUAAUCCUCUGCUUUUAAUUAACGUUUUGUUUGUUUUAGUUUUUUGUUUGUUUUUGAGACAGGGUCUUGCUUUUUUACCCAGGCUGGAGUGCAAUGGCUCAAUCACAGCUCACUGUUACCUCAAAUUCCUGAUCUCAAGGGAUCCUCCUGCCUCAGCCUCCUAAGUGACUGGAACUACAGGAAGAAGAAAUAUGCAUCUGGGUUCAUUUUUGAAGGUUACUAUGGAAAACAUCCAUUUAAGUACAUUUAAGAAUUUUUUUUAAUUAAAAAAAUUUCACAUUUGAGGAAAUGGACUUAAAGAUGGUGGGUAAUUUGCCAAAAGUCACAUAGCUCGUCAGGUUUGCCUUCUUCUUUCAUGAGGACUGUUGAUGUUUUAUUGAAACCCAAUCAGUCUUUAUGGUGUUCCUAUGUGUUAAGCCUGAGCUCCAGGAAUUCUCACUAAUUUGUGAGGAAAUGUUUACACCAAUGGCUGGCUGAACUUUGUUGUUAUGACUCAUUUCCCAUUGGUGAAGAUACAAUUUAUUUAUCCUGUUGGAAUUGGAUGUGUCUAUCUUAUGCAUAUCCCAGAUUUGUUUCUGAGAGGCACACAACACAUUUGAUUUCACAGUUUCACAGCUAGAGAGGAAUUUGCCUCAGAAUAAAUUGUAUCUUGAAUCUCACCAAAAUCUGAUUUAGAUAAUAUUUAGAUAAGACUUUGUACUUUAGAUUUUUGAGUUGAUGCUGGAACAGGCGAAGACUUUUGGGGCUGUUUGGAUAGAAGGAAUGUAUUUUGCAUGUGAGAAGUACAUAAAUUUGGGGAUAUCAGGGGUGGAAUGCUAUAGACUGAAUGUUUGUGUCCUCCCAAAAUUCAUAUGUUGAAAUCCUAGCCCCCAGUCUGAGGAUACUAGGAGGUAGGGCCUCUGGGAGGUACAUCAUGAGAAUAGAGCCCUCAUGAAUAGUAUUAAUAUUCUUAUAAAAGAGACUCCAGAAAAUUUCAUGAUCCCUUCUGCCAUGUGAGGACUCAAUGAGGUGACUUCUAUCUAUGAACUUGGAAUCAGGCACUCACCAGACACUGAAUCUGCUGGCACCUUGACCUUGGACUUUCCAGCCUCCAGAACUUUGGGAAAUAAAUUUCUGUUAUUUAUAAGCCACCCAGUCUUUGCUAUUCUUUUGUAGCAGCCUAACUAGUCUAAGACAAAGCAUUAAGAAAAUAAAACUUAUUAUAGGUUUUGUUUCGCUUUUUAAAUAAUUUUUAAUUGUAAAUAAAUAUAUGUAAAUAAUAAUGGCUACAAAGCAUUUAAGGUAUGCUGGGUACAUAUCUUAAGCAUUUUAUGUAUAUUAUCCACUUAGCCUUCAUUUAUUCUCAUGAGGUAAGUUCUAGUAUCUUUAUUUUACAGGCAAAGAAAUAAACUUAGAGAUGGUAAUUUGCCAAAUGUCAAAUAGUUCAUCAUAUCUGCAUGAUUUUCUUUAUUUCUAACUAAUUAGCAACAAAUCAUUAUUUCAAUCAGGUGACACAGUUGCCUCUCUUACACUUUUAAGCUUAAUCUAGAAUGAAAUAAUUUACACUAUGUAUUUAGGCAUCAUGGUUAAUCUAAUACAAUUCUCAGCCAGCUACUUCAUUCAUUCAUUCAUUCAUUAAUCUAACAUCUAUUAAGCAUUUUCUGUGUGUCAGGCACUAGGGAUACAGAGGUGAACAAAUUAAAUACAGCCCUUGCCCUUGGUAGAGUGGAGGACUCACCUGAGUGUGCAAGUCAUAAUGUAAAUUAUGCAAAUGAUUGUUUGAUCACUGCCUAUGAGGGCCUCAAAGAAGAAAUCAAGGGGCAAUGAGCGUGUUUAGUUAGCGUGGCUGAAGCAAAUCUCCAGAGGAUGGGUCUCCUAAGUUGGGCCAUAGAGGAUGUCUAUCUCUCCAAAUGACACAGGGCCUCUCAGGGACCCAGCAUGCAGCAGAUAUAUUCACCCAACAGAUUCAUUGUCCCAAAUCACUGCACAGAUUCUCUUCUCCCUAUCUUAGAAUGAUUUGGCAGAGAGGCUUCUGGGACCUCAACAGUGUAGUUGCCUUGGUAUCUUAGUAAGGGAGAAGAGCAGAACUGGAGAGGGACAGUGAGCUUAGGGUUGUGCUCAGCAAUCCCAACCUGGAUGUUGAGGGUGGGUGGACAUGAACUCAAGCUUUACUUGGAUCAGUCAGUCUUUUUAUCUUAGGGGUGGUAAAUGGGACACAGGUACAGGAGAUUCAGAGCAGUGGCCAUGCUUGAAGUUAGGAUUCUUAGUAGGUUUGAAGCAAGAUAUUAAAUAGUCUGGUAGGUCCCCAUAAGUUCUCAUCCAGUUGAUUCAGGGUCCUGAGAAGCAUUCUAGGUCGAGGCACAGUCCCAGGAGCAGAUCUGCAGAGUAUUCAAGAUAUAGUCGGAAUCUUAUUAGUUGUCUUGAGGUGGAUUAGAUCAGGGCCUGGGAAGGGGCUAAGCCUGCAGUUUAGAAGCUGCAGUGAGAAGACCUAAGCAUGUCAGGUUCCAGAGCUAUUAUCUAUUCCCUUGCUUAAAAUAAACUGUGCCAAUACAUGUAGGUUGAUCCUUCUGCCCUGAUGGGCUUGACCAGAACAUUCUUUCCAUCCCUAGUUUUGUAUUAAUAAUUGAAUUCCCAGAGCACAAAUUUGCUUUCCAGAUAUCACCAAAUACGUCUUCAUCAGGGACCCCAGUACUGCAGGCCCUUUGUUGUCACUUUGCCCAAACUCAUCUACAAAAAAGUAAAAGGCAUCUGCUCCUCAUCAUUGAGGUAUCUUGAUAUUCUCUGGAGGAAGAAAAGACUUUUCUGCAUAAAGCAAUGUAAGGCAAGGUAUCAGUAGGUUUUCUGCUGCUAUAAUAGAAUACCAGUUUUAUUUGGCUCAUGGUGCUGGAGGCUUGGGAAGUCCAAGAGCCUGGCAUCAGCAUCCGACAGGGCCAUCCCACGGAGGAAGGGAAAGCAGGCACAUGAGACAGGGAAAACGGGCCUGAAUUCCCAAGAUAUCUAACCCAUUCUCUCCACAGUGGCAUUAGCCCACUUAUGAGGGCAGAGCCCUCAAUACCUAAUCACCUCUUGAAAGUCCCACCUCUUCAUUGUCAUAAUGGCAAUUAAAUUUCAACAUGAAUUUUGGAGGGAACAUUCAAACUGUAGCAGGUAAUAAAUGCAGUUAAUAACUGUAAUGAAGUAAAAGUGACAUGUA